rnacentral:rRNA from 1 species
AUUGAACGCUGGCGGCAGGCCUAACACAUGCAAGUCGAGCGGAUGAAGGGAGCUUGCUCCUGGAUUCAGCGGCGGACGGGUGAGUAAUGCCUAGGAAUCUGCCUGGUAGUGGGGGAUAACGUCCGGAAACGGGCGCUAAUACCGCAUACGUCCUGACGGAGAAGGUGGGGGAUCUUCGGACCUCACGCUAUCAGAUGAGCCUAGGUCGGAUUAGCUAGUUGGUGGGGUAAAGGCCUACCAAGGCGACGAUCCGUAACUGGUCUGAGAGGAUGAUCAGUCACACUGGAACUGAGACACGGUCCAGACUCCUACGGGAGGCAGCAGUGGGGAAUAUUGGACAAUGGGCGAAAGCCUGAUCCAGCCAUGCCGCGUGUGUGAAGAAGGUCUUCGGAUUGUAAAGCACUUUAAGUUGGGAGGAAGGGCAGUAAGUUAAUACCUUGCUGUUUUGACGUUACCAACAGAAUAAGCACCGGCUAACUUCGUG